AUAUUAGUCAAUGCUCGCAAGAGUGAACUAGCUAACUGAAUUUAUAAUUACCCGGGGGACUGGGAAACAAUGUAAUAACGUAAUGGGCCGUUGAUAGUUUAGCAUUUAAACGGAGGAAAAAGAUGAUAUGACCAUUACUAUUAGUGCUGUCCAAAGCUGGUGCCAGAAGACUCGGUAAGGCCAGAAGCGCGUACGUUAAUCACAUUAAACAGGCGUAAAGGGUGUGUAGGCAGCUUUUUAAAACUGAUCUUUUAAGUUAACUGCAAUAUGAUAGAACUAUUAUUAUAAAGAUAAAAAAAGAAAGGCGACUAAAAGCUAGAAUCAUAUCGAGGUUAAACUGAAUAAUACUUAGUGUAGGGAUUGAAUCUGUAGAUAUUAAGGGGAAUACUAAUAGGUGUAAGCUUUUUUCCACUAAUGAUUGACGCUGAGACACGAAGGCGGGGAAAGGGAAUAGGAUUAGAUACCCAAAAUACCUCCUGCUGUCAACGAUGUAUGGUCUUUUAGGUAGCUUUUUAAGCUGCUAUUGACGCUAACGCUCUAACCAUACCGCCUUGCGAGUACGGUUGCAAAACUGAAACCAAAAA
rnacentral:rRNA from 1 species